rnacentral:rRNA from 1 species
UACAGAGGUGGCAAGCGUUGUUCGGAAUUACUGGGCGUAAAGGGCGCGUAGGCGGCCUUCUAAGUCAGACGUGAAAUCCCCCGGCUUAACCUGGGAACUGCGUCUGAUACUGGAAGGCUUGAGUGCGGGAGAGGGAUGUGGAAUUCCAGGUGUAGCGGUGAAAUGUGUAGAUAUCCGGAAGAACACCGAUGGCGAAGGCAACCACCUGGGCCUGUACUGACGCUGAGGUACGAAAGCGUGGGGAGCAAACAGG